rnacentral:rRNA from 1 species
UACGUAGGGUGCGAGCGUUAAUCGGAAUUACUGGGCGUAAAGAGUGCGUAGGCGGUUCUUGAAGUCCGCUGUGAAAGCCCCGGGCUUAACCUGGGAAUGGCAGUGGAAACUGGAGGACGUUGAAUUGAGCAGAGGGGGGUGGAAUGACCGCGUGGUAGCAGUGAAAUGCGUAGAUAUGACGGAGGAACACCGAUGGCGAAGGCAACUCCCUGGCCUGCACUGACGUCAGUGCACGAAGCGUGGGA